UUUUCCAGACGCUGAUUCGUGAUGCUUGGAAAGCUAUUAUCUCCUGCUAAGCUGCAUGGGACGUCUGCAAACCAUCGUGAUGGUGAUAAGAGGAGCGUGAGAUGGGUCCUGUGUGUGCUCUGGCAAUCGAGAUGUAACCCAUAUUUGGAUUGGAAAGUACGUCAGAAAACACAAUGCUCCGGAUGCCCUCAACAGACUCUGUUUGUGGAGAUCCAGAGAUAGGUAGACUAUGCCUCAGUUCACCUUUGCCUGCUUCUGCGGCCUUCAUGGCCUCUGCGGAAGGAAAAAGAAGAAAAAGGAGCAAGAGAGACAACCACAACAGGACUAUGAAACUGAGGUUUGAAAUGAUGUCUGGACUGGGAAGAUUCUCAAGGUUUCAGUAGCUUACAAAGGG
rnacentral:lncRNA from 1 species